rnacentral:rRNA from 1 species
AUUGAACGCUGGCGGCAGGCCUAACACAUGCAAGUAGAGCGGAGCGGCGGACGGGUGAGUAAGGACUAUGAAUCUGCCUGGUAGUGGGGGAGAAAGUCAGGAAACGGGCGCUAAUAACGCAUAAUAUCAGCUGAGCCAAUGUAGGAUUAGCUAGUUGGUGGGGUAAAGGCCUACCAAGGCGCCGAUCCGUAACUGGUCUGAGAUGAUGAUCAGUCACACUGGAACUGAUACACUGCCCAGACUCCUACGGGCGUAAUCCGUGGGGAAUACUGGACAAUGGGCGAAAGCCGGAUCCAGCCAUGCCGCUUGUGUGAAGAAGGUCUUCGGAUUGUAAUGCACUUUAAGUUGGUAGGCGUUACCAACAGAAUAAGCACCGGCUAACUUCGUGCCAGCAGCCGCGGUAAUUC